rnacentral:tRNA from 1 species
GGGGCCGUAGUCUAGCCAGGGAUGACGACAGUCGUACCGGCAACGGUUCUACCGUUAAGGGCUCCAGAAACAAGCAAUGGGUUUGCUGACCAGAAUCUGGGAUGACGAAAUUCUGGAGCGAGGAGAAACCCGUAGGGACAGAAAAUGAUCUGUUUCGGGUAAAGGUCGUCGGUUCAAUUCCGGCCGGCCCCACCA